CCCGCACGUCUUGCGCACGCACGGGCCGCACGUGCGCGCCAAGAAACACCCUCGCGCUGCCUUCGGAAGUCCACAUCUCAUCAUUGCGUCCAUCCGAAUGCCAUCAGCCCGCCACAAAGCACAGCACCGACGGCGUGCGGCCAGAAGCGCCCCCGUGCGCUUCUUCGAAGAUGCGGUCGCCUGGUGUGUUAUCUUCUUUCUACUGGGUGCACCUGUGCUGCCCGUCUCGCGAGCGGGCAUGACCCUUGUCUCCGCACUUGCUGUCGCCCUAACAUGGCCCCUCCCUAUUUCGACGUGGGCAACGCUCCUCACUACCUCGCUGCAGCGUGAUCGUCAGAAGCAGCCGGCCAUGAGCACAGCGGUGGACCUCUUCACCGCCCCAGCCGCAGUCCCAUUACAUGACGCACCCCUUGAUGACAUAGAGGUGAAUGAGCACUGUGGUGGUGUAGGUUCGCGCACGGAGGGCAUGCUCGCUGCUCCCGGAUACGCGUCCGAGGACGCUGCGCAGUUGGCCCGUUGCUUUGCCUUGGCCGCCGUCUUGCUCGGUGGCGGUCUGUUUGGACAGUUGGACUGGCAGGUCGCGUAUCAAGUAUGGCCCUACCCCUCCUUAAGCGCCUACGUAGUGGCCCGUGUUGCAUUGGAAGUGUACGACCGAGUCGGAGGUGGAAGUGGCGUUCUUCACAGAAAAGAGGUUCAAUGAAAAAAAAGAUCAAGUGAAAAAGGAGAGGCGGGGCUGCAUGCGUGUUUUUCCGCGUUUGUGUGUGUGUUUGUGAUGAGUCCGCUGUGGUGUCUCCCUUUAUCUUUGCUCCCUUUCGUUGCUCGUCCCCCUUCCCCCUCCCUCCUACGCCACGCUUCAGCUGGGAUUGUGCUCAUUUUGUGCUGCUGCUCUGUACGGUGCAUGAACAUCACGUUAGGAUGGCGCACAUGUUGCCCUUACCUCCUUCCCCUGUACAGUAUUCCUUUUCUUAUCAUUGGAUGCGCUACUGCACACUUUUGGUUUUCUCACUGAUAUCCUGGCACUCAUUUCCCGACGCGUCUCAGACGGUGGGCGCACUGCCUCGCUUGCGCGUGCGUGCACAUGUGCGCGCAGCACCAACGUGUAUGUGUGCUAUGCCGAAGGGAGCUCCUGUGCUUCCCACAAGAAGUUACCUCAGCUUUUACGGUUUCUUGUCCACCCCUUC
rnacentral:misc_RNA from 1 species